GAGAGAUCUUGUUUGAGACAGCAAAAUGAAACCAUUUGUCCCAAACGAUGCAGAGGCGGUGACCCAAAUGCGGACGACAUUUUGUGGACAAGACAAAAUAGUGGCUACUUUCAGAACGGUUACAUGUACCCACACAAACUUCCCACAUAAAAGGCAGAAGCCAAAGACCACCAAGAGAGCCAGUCACCAGAUUACCCAGCCGCUCCUAGUCCCAAAUGAGUUCCAUCUUUUGUAAGGCUUCCCUGAUUGCCAAGGGAACAAGAUUGUGAACCUAAUCACAGCACUGCUGCUUCUAUUUGCUUCAUGGACUGAAAGACCAACAUCUAUCUUGGCUACGGCAGCACAAAGGCUUUUCAGAGAAAUUGUGGCCAUUUCAGCUACCAAGGGUAUAGGAGAAAUAUGCUUCCCCAUUCUUCUGCCUGGCUCACAUCUAUUUCUCUUUUCUCUUCACAAAACCUCUGGAAAAGUGCUUUCACGUUACAGGGGCACCAAUGUACAAGACAUUCCUGUGCCAUGGUCUUCCCCUAAAUCCUGGGCAUGGUGGAGCACCUCUGAUGGACAGCAAUAUGUAACUGAUGAGGCCCAGGAGAGAAGCAGGAGAGAUCUUGUGACGAAGAUAUAUCUCCGUCUCCAGGGAGAUAUUGUAGUGUGAGGUGGUCUCCCAUGGAGAAUGAGACACACACGCAGCAGG